rnacentral:rRNA from 1 species
UACGUAGGGUGCGAGCGUUGUCCGGAAUUAUUGGGCGUAAAGAGCUCGUAGGCGGUGUGUCACGUCGGCCGUGAAAACCUGCAGCUUAACUGUGGGCGUGCGGUCGAUACGGGCAUCACUGGAGUUCGGCAGGGGAGACUGGAAUUCCUGGUGUAGCGGUGGAAUGCGCAGAUAUCAGGAAGAACACCGACGGCGAAGGCAGCUCGCUGGGACGGUACUGACGCUGAGGCGCGAAAGCGUGGGGAGCGAACAGG